rnacentral:rRNA from 1 species
UACGUAGGGUGCAAGCGUUAAUCGGAAUUACUGGGCGUAAAGCGUGCGCAGGCGGCUAUGCAAGACAGAUGUGAAAUCCCCGGGCUCAACCUGGGAACUGCAUUUGUGACUGCAUGGCUAGAGUACGGUAGAGGGGGAUGGAAUUCCGCGUGUAGCAGUGAAAUGCGUAGAUAUGCGGAGGAACACCGAUGGCGAAGGCAGCCCCCUGGGCUAACACUGACGCUCAGGCACGAAAGCGUGGGGAGCAAACAGG